rnacentral:rRNA from 1 species
GACGAACGCUGGCGGCGUGCUUAACACAUGCAAGUCGAACGGUGAAGCGCCUUCCUUUUUGGUGGGUGUGGAUGAGUGGCGAACGGGUGAGUAACACGUGAGUAACCUGCCCCCUUCUUCUGGAUAACCGCAUGAAAGUGUGGCUAAUACGGGAUAUUCUGGGUCUGUCGCAUGAUGGGUCUGGGAAAGAUAUUGUUUCGGUGGGGGAUGGGCUCGCGGCCUAUCAGCUGGUUGGUGGGGUGAUGGCCUACCAAGGCGGUGACGGGUAGCCGGCCUGAGAGGGUGGACGGUCACACUGGGACUGCGCCACGGCCCAGACUCCUACGGGAGGCAGCAGUGGGGAUUAUUGCACAAUGGGCGCAAGCCUGAUGCAGCGACGCCGCGUGAGGGAUGGAGGCCUUCGGGUUGUGAACCUCUUUCGCCAGUGAAGCAGGCCUGCCUCGUUUGUGGGUGGGUUGACGGUAACUGGAUAAGAAGCGCCGGCUAACUACGUG